GGCACGGUGGUGCAGUGGGUAGCACUGUGGCCUUCCACUUAGAAGGUUGUUGGUUCAAGUGACCAACCAGUGGUC